UGAGCUAAUCCAGUGGCUUUUUGUUAUAAUGCCAUAACUGCAGGAUUGACAAGAAGUUCAACUGAAACAUCCCAGAAAAGAUUGCCCCAGCCCUGGAGAAGAGCCUGGGUUGGAAAAGACCUCCAAGAUCACUGAGUCCAACCUGAGGCCACAGGGGGAUCACCAGGGGCAAAGUCCCUGCAGCUGGGGAGAAUCAAGCUGCUGCUUCGCUCCCAGCGAAUGUAAAGGACACUGGACCCUGGGAGGAGCUGGGAGAUUGCAGCACGGCCCUGCUGUGUGCGGGUGCCACGGCUCCAGCUUCCCAAGGAGGCA